rnacentral:tRNA from 1 species
UCCCUGGUAGUCUAGCGGUUAGGAUUUGGCGCUUUCACCGCCGCGGCCCGGGUUCGAUUCCCGGCCAGGGAA